UACGUAGGGGGCAAGCGUUGUCCGGAUUUAUUGGGCGUAAAGAGCGUGUAGGCGGCCAGGUAGGUCGGUUGUGAAAACUGGAGGCUCAACCUUCAGAGGUCGACCGAAACCAUCUGGCUAGAGUCCGGGAGAGGAGAGUGGAAUUCCUGGUGUAGCGGUGAAAUGCGCAGAUAUCUGGAGGAACACCGGUGGCGAAGGCGGCAUCCUGGACCAAUUCUGACGCUGAGUGAGCGAAAGCCAGGGGAGCAAACGGG
rnacentral:rRNA from 1 species